ACAUUGGUGGUUCAGUGGUAGAAUUCUCUCCCUUCAUAUGGGAGACCCUGGUUCGAUUCCGAGCCAAUGGA
rnacentral:tRNA from 1 species